GUCUUUUUGAUUUUAAUUUAAAGUCUGACCUGCCCAAUGAGUAAUUUAAUGGCCGCAGUAUUUUGACUGUGCAAAGGUAGCAUAAUCAUUAGUUUCUUAAUUAGAAACUGGAAUGAAAGGUUGGACGAGAAAAUAACUGUCUCUAUAUAAAUUAGUUAGAAUUUUAUUUUUAAGUAAAAAAGCUUAAAUUUUUUUAAAAGACGAGAAGACCCUAUAGAGUUUUAUUUAAAUAUUAAUUAAUAAUUUAAUUUGUAUUUUUUAAAUUUUAAUUGGUUUUAAAUUUAGUUGGGGUGAUUAAAAAAUUUAGUAAACUUUUUUUAAAUUUAAACAUUUAUUUAUGAUUGAAUGAUCCAUUAUUUAUGAUUAUAAGAUUAAAUUACCUUAGGGAUAACAGCGUAAUUUCUUUUUAGAGUUCAAAUCAUUAAAGAAGUUUGCGACCUCGAUGUUGGAUUAAAAUAAAUUUUUGGUGUAGCAGCUAAAAAAUUAGGUCUGUUCGACCUUUGAAAUUUUACAUGAUCUGAGUUUAAACCGGUGUAAGCCAGGUUGGUUUCUAUCUUUAAAUUUAUUAAAUAUUUUAGUACGAAAGGACCAAAUAUUUUAAUUAUAUUAUUUUUAUUGAAUUUUAUUAAUUAUAG
rnacentral:rRNA from 1 species